CUUCCGGCCUCCGCUCUGUUCCCCGGCUUCAAUUUGCAGAACGCGGCUUGUCUCCAAAGCUCAGAGGGGGUGAGCUGUUGUUUGUAAAGCUGUCUUCUCCAGAGAUGCAUUGGAAAAAUAUUUUUUAAAAAACCAUGUAGUCUUCCCGGAAAAUGGGCAAGAGUCAAGAAAUCUAGCUAGAGCAUGUGGUCAUGAAUGCAGGAUAAUCAGGAUUGAUGCUGUUAAUUCCUUUACAAGAUAGUCUUUCACUUUUAGGUGUUGUCUAAUUGACUUAUCUAAAAACAGACCUUUAAAUGUCUUCCUUCCUUAGAGAGGUUUGAGUCCUAUUUUUCAAAAAAAAGAUAACUUGUGCUAAAAGUUACAUCUCUCCCAUUGGUUUUAUUUUAAAGCAAAUUUUCCAUUGCUUAUUUGCCUAUGGCAGCUGCUCCUUAUUCCUCCCGUAUUUCAGCCCUGGUAUAAGGUGUUGGGAGCGUUUACUUUCAGCUGAGUGGGACAUGGGAGCUCUUGGGUCUUCACAGACAAGUGAAUUUGGGUACAAGGUAAUAGCAGCUGAGGUUGGACAACUUCUAGACGUUUGGACUGAACCUCAUCCAGCAUCAUGGACGGUUUGUUAGCUGGAUGCUUUAGUAGACUUCAUACAGCGAAGAUGAGAGACUUUGGGCAUGUGUUGCUUUAUAUUUGUGAGCUGUGUGUUACUCUGUGGAUUUUCUACACCAGUGUCUUCGAAUCUGACUGCAUGCCUGCCCUGUUCUCACCCAGAAUAUUCCCGGACUGGCUUCCUUCACUUUUAAUUGUCACCACCCAGACCUCGGUGAGGGCGGGUGUCCACACAGGCAGCGUCUCCUGGAGCAGACUCGGCCACUCCUGCCUCUUUCUCGGUGGCCUGUUCCCUGACUGGAGAAUGCCUGAAUUACGGAGCCCAGUUGUCCGUGGACUCUGUAACUGAAAGUAAGUUCAAAGAGCCCACCACGUCUGCUCUUUUCUAGUACUUUCACAAUAACCAGAGGUAUCCACAAGCCUGGAUUUCACUGUGCAAACCUGCCUUAACCAAAACAAAAUAACAUUAACCAUUAAUGGUUUUUCUUUUAUACCUGCUGUCGUAUAAAAGAGAUAAAUUACUUUUAAAAUCAAUUGAUUUCAGUUCUUAGGUGCAAAAUAAAAUUCCUAAAGGUCCUAGGAUAAGGAAAAUUGUAGACCACUCAUUACAGCAUGAACUUCAACAGCACUAUAGUUGUAACUGCUACUCCACAGGUAGCCCUAUCCUACAUACUGUAAUUAUAAGAUUUUUUCAGGCACAGCA
rnacentral:lncRNA from 1 species